AUUGAACGCUGGCGGCAGGCUUAACACAUGCAAGUCGAGCGGGGUGAUGGUGCUUGCACUAUCACUUAGCGGCGGACGGGUGAGUAAUGCUUAGGAAUCUGCCUAUUAGUGGGGGACAACAUCUCGAAAGGGAUGCUAAUACCGCAUACGUCCUACGGGAGAAAGCAGGGGAUCACUUGUGACCUUGCGCUAAUAGAUGAGACUAAGUCGGAUUAGCUAGUUGGUGGGGUAAAGGCCUACCAAGGCGACAAUCUGUAGCGGGUCUGAGCGGAUGAUCCGCCACACUGGGCCUGAGACACGGCCCAGACGCCGACGGAAGGCAGCAGGGGGGAAUAUUGGACAAUGGGUGGAACCCUGAUCCAGCCAUGCCGCGUGUGUGAAGAAGGCCUUAUGGUUGUAAGGCACUUUAAGCGAGGAGGAGGCUCUUUUGGUUAAUACCCAAGAUGAGUGGACGUUACUCGCAGAAUAAGCACCGGCUAACUCUGUGCCAGCCGCCGCGGUAA
rnacentral:rRNA from 1 species